rnacentral:SRP_RNA from 1 species
GCCAGGUGUGGUGGCACGUGCCUGUAGUCCCAGCUACUUGGGAGGCUGAGGCAGGAGAAUCGCUUGAAUCCAGGAGGUGGGGGUUGCAGUGAGCUGGGAUCCUGCCACUGUACUCUCCAGCCUGGGCAACAGAGCGAGACUCUGUCUCAA